GAUGAACGCUGGCGGCGUGCCUAAGACAUGCAAGUCGAAAGGGUUUAGACCCUUGGCGAACGGGUGAGUAACGCGUGGGUACUUCCAUUAAGUUGAGCAUAACCCGCCGAAAGGCGGGAUAAUACUCGAUGUGGCCGCAAGGCUAAAGUCGCAAGACGCUUAAUGCAAGGCCCGCGUCCCAUCAGCUAGUUGGUAAGGUAAUGGCUUACCAAGGCUAUGACGGGUAGCGGAACCGAGAGGUUGAUCCGCCACACUGGGACUGCGACACGGCCCAGACUCCUACGGGAGGCAGCAGUUUGGAAUUUUGGACAAUGGGCGAAAGCCUGAUCCAGCGACGCCGCGUGCACGAUGAAGGCCUCGGUUG
rnacentral:rRNA from 1 species